rnacentral:rRNA from 1 species
UACGUAGGGUCCAAGCGUUAAUCGGAAUUACUGGGCGUAAAGCGUGCGCAGGCGGUGAUGUAAGACAGAUGUGAAAUCCCCGGGCUCAACCUGGGAACUGCAUUUGUGACUGCAUCGCUGGAGUGCGGCAGAGGGGGAUGGAAUUCCGCGUGUAGCAGUGAAAUGCGUAGAUAUGCGGAGGAACACCGAUGGCGAAGGCAAUCCCCUGGGCCUGCACUGACGCUCAUGCACGAAAGCGUGGGGAGCAAACAGG